rnacentral:rRNA from 1 species
GACGAACGCUGGCGGCGUGCUUAACACAUGCAAGUCGAACGGAAAGGCCCUGCUUUUGUGGGGUGCUCGAGUGGCGAACGGGUGAGUAACACGUGAGUAACCUGCCCUUGACUUUGGGAUAACUUCAGGAAACUGGGGCUAAUACCGGAUAGGAGCUCCUGCUGCAUGGUGGGGGUUGGAAAGUUUCGGCGGUUGGAGAUGGACUCGCGGCUUAUCAGCUUGUUGGUGGGGUAGUGGCUUACCAAGGCUUUGACGGGUAGCCGGCCUGAGAGGGUGACCGGCCACAUUGGGACUGAGGGACGGCCCAGACUCCUACGGGAGGCAGCAGUGGGGAAUAUUGCACAAUGGGCGGAAGCCUGAGGCAGCAACGCCGCGUGCGGGAUGACGGCCUUCGGGUUGUAAACCGCUUUCGCCUGUGACGAAGCGUGAGUGACGGUAAUGGGUAAAGAAGCACCGGCUAACUACGUG